rnacentral:rRNA from 1 species
GAACGCGAAGAACCUUACCAGGUCUUGACAUCCCUCUGACCGCUCUAGAGAUAGAGUUUUCCUUCGGGACAGAGGUGACAGGUGGUGCAUGGUUGUUGUCAGCUCGUGUCGUGAGAUGUUGGGUUAAGUCCCGCAACGAGCGCAACCCCUAUUGUUAGUUGCCAUCAUUCAGUUGGGCACUCUAGCGAGACUGCCGGUAAUAAACCGGAGGAAGGUGGGGAUGACGUCAAAUCAUCAUGCCCCUUAUGACCUGGGCUACACACGUGCUACAAUGGCUGGUACAACGAGUCGCAAGCCGGUGACGGCAAGCUAAUCUCUUAAAGCCAGUCUCAGUUCGGAUUGUAGGCUGCAACUCGCCUACAUGAAGUCGGAAUCGCUAGUAAUCGCGGAUCAGCACGCCGCGGUGAAUACGUUCCCGGGUCUUGUACACACC